rnacentral:rRNA from 1 species
GAUGAACGCUAGCGGCAGGCUUAAUACAUGCAAGUCGAGGGACAGCACAGGUAGCAAUACUGGGUGGUAACCGGCAAACGGGUGCGGAACACGUACACAACCUUCCUUUAAGUGGGGGAUAGCCCAGAGAAAUUUGGAUUAAUACACCGUAAUAUAGUUGAAUGGCAUCAUUUGAUUAUUAUAGCUACGGCGCUUAAUGAUGGGUGUGCGGCUGAUUAGAUAGUUGGCGGGGUAACGGCCCACCAAGUCUACGAUCAGUAGCUGAUGUGAGGGCAUGAUCAGCCACACGGGCACUGAGACACGGGCCCGACUCCUACGGGAGGCAGCAGUAAGGAAUAUUGGUCAAUGGACGCAAGACUGAACCAGCCAUGCCGCGUGAAGGAUUAAGGUCCUCUGGAUUGUAAACUUCUUUUAUUUGGGACGAAAAAGGGCCUUUCUAGGUCAACUGACGGUACCAGAUGAAUAAGCACCGGCUAACUCCGUGCCAGCAGCCGCGGUAACAC